rnacentral:rRNA from 1 species
GAUGAACGCUGGCGGCGUGCCUAAUACAUGCAAGUCGAGCGAACAGCUGAGGAGCUUGCUCCUCUGACGUUAGCGGCGGACGGGUGAGUAACACGUGGAUAACCUACCUAUAAGACUGGGAUAACUUCGGGAAACCGGAGCUAAUACCGGAUAAUAUAUUGAACCGCAUGGUUCAAUAGUGAAAGACGGUUUUGCUGUCACUUAUAGAUGGAUCCGCGCCGCAUUAGCUAGUUUGUAAGGUAACGGCUUACCAAUGCAACGAUGCGUAGCCGACCUGAGAGCGUGCACGGCCACACUGGCAGUGAGACACCGUCGAGACACUCACAGGAGGCAGCAGGCGGGAAUCUUCCGCAAUGGGCGAAAGCUCGACGGAGCAAAACCGAGUGAGUGAUGAAGGUCUUAGGAUCGUAAAGCUAUGUUAUUAGGGAAGAACAAAUGUGUAAGUAACUAUGCACGUAUUGACGGUACCGAAAGAGAAAGCCACGGCUAACUCCGUG